rnacentral:rRNA from 1 species
CCGUUNCCGGCGACCGGCGCACGGGUGAGUAACACGUAUGCAACCUGCCCGUGGCAGGGGGAUAAGCGGGGGAAACCCCGUCUAAUACCGCGUAACGCGGCCUUGGGGCAUCCCAAGGCCGCCAAAGGGAGCAAUCCCGGCCACGGAUGGGCAUGCGGCGCAUUAGCUAGUCGGCGGGGUAACGGCCCACCGAGGCGACGAUGCGUAGGGGUUCUGAGAGGAAGGCCCCCCACACUGGUACUGAGACACGGACCAGACUCCUACGGAAGGCAGCAG